UGUUAAACCUGAUAAAGCGAAAAGCCCGGAGCGCAGCGAGGACUUGCAGCGAUAGCAGGACUACCA
rnacentral:ncRNA from 2 species